AGAGUUUGAUCCUGGCUCAGGACGAACGCUGGCGGCGUGCUUAACACAUGCAAGUCGAACGAGGUAGCAAUACCUAGUGGCGGACGGGUGAGUAACACGUAGGUAACCUGCCUCAUAGUGGGGGAUACCCAGCCGAAAGGUUGGCUAAUACCGCAUAAGCUCUGCAGUUGUAAUACUGUAGAGGAAAGAUUUAUUGCUAUGAGAGGGGCCUGCGUAUGAUUAGCUAGUUGGUGAGGUAACGGCUCACCAAGGCGACGAUCAUUAGCUGGUCUGAGAGGACGAUCAGCCACACUGGAACUGAGACACGGUCCAGACUCCUACGGGAGGCAGCAGUGGGGAAUUUUCCGCAAUGGGCGAAAGCCUGACGGAGCAAUGCCGCGUGGGUGAUGAAGUAUUUCGGUACGUAAAACCCUUUCAGCAGGGACGAAGCGAGUGACGGUACCUGCAGAAGAAGCAUCGGCUAACUACGUGCCAGCAGCCGCGGUAAUACGUAGGAUGCAAGCGUUGUCCGGAAUUAUUGGGCGUAAAGCGAACGUAGGCGGUUAUUUAAGUCUGGACUUAAAGACUGGGGCUCAACCCCAGGAAUGGUUCGGAUACUGGAUGACUAGAGGAUGUCAGAGGAAAGUGGAAUUCCCAGUGUAGCGGUGAAAUGCGUAGAUAUUGGGAGGAACACCAGUGGCGAAAGCGGCUUUCUGGGACAUUCCUGACGCUGAGGUUCGAAAGCUCGGGGAGCAAACAGGAUUAGAUACCCUGGUAGUCCGAGCCGUAAACGAUGGACACUAGGUGUCGGGGGUAUCGACCCCCCCGGUGCCGUAGCUAACGCGUUAAGUGUCCCGCCUGGGGAGUACGGUCGCAAGACUGAAACUCAAAGGAAUUGACGGGGGCCCGCACAAGCGGUGGAGUAUGUGGCUUAAUUCGAUGCAACGCGAAGAACCUUACCUGGCCUUGACAUGCAAGUGGUAGAACCAUGAAAGUGGGACGACCCCGCAAGGGGAGCUUGCACAGGUGCUGCAUGGCUGUCGUCAGCUCGUGUCGUGAGAUGUUGGGUUAAGUCCCGCAACGAGCGCAACCCUUGUGUCCUGUUGCCACUCCCUCGAGAGAGGGAAGCACUCUGGACAGACUGCCUCGCUUAAACGAGGAGGAAGGUGGGGAUGACGUCAAGUCAGUAUGGCCCUUACGGCCAGGGCUGCACACGUACUACAAUGCGCGGCACAAAGGGAAGCUAGGCCGUCAGGCGGAGCAAAUCCCAAAAAACCGCGCCCAGUUCAGAUUGCCGUCUGCAACUCGACGGCAUGAAGCCGGAAUCGCUAGUAAUGGCGCAUCAGCUACGGCGCCGUGAAUACGUUCCCAGGCCUUGUACACACCGCCCGUCACAUCAUGAAAGCCGGUUGUACCCGAAGUCCGCAUUGCCAACCCGCAAGGGGGGCAGCGGCCGAAGGUAUGGCUGGUGAUUGGGAUGAAGUCGUAACAAGGUAGCCGU
rnacentral:rRNA from 1 species